rnacentral:rRNA from 1 species
UACGUAGGGUGCAAGCGUUGUCCGGAAUUAUUGGGCGUAAAGAGCUCGUAGGCGGUUCGUCGCGUCGGCUGUGAAAAACCCGGAGCUCAACUCCGGGCCUGCAGUCGAUACGGGCGGACUUGAGUUCGGCAGGGGAGACUGGAAUUCCUGGUGUAGCGGUGAAAUGCGUAGAGAUCAGGAAGAACAUCGGUGGCGAAGGCGCUCUGCUGGACCAUAACUGACACUCAGGGACGAAAGCUAGGGGAGCGAAUGGG